AUCUACGGCCACGCUCCCCUGAAUGCGCCCGACCCCGUCUGAUCUCGGAAGGUAAGCAAGGUCGGGCCUGGUUAGUACCUGGAUGGGAGACCACCUAGGAAGACCAGGUGCUGUAGGCA
rnacentral:rRNA from 1 species